AUUGAACGCUGGCGGCAGGCCUAACACAUGCAAGUCGAGCGGAUGAAGGGAGCUUGCUCCCGGAUUCAGCGGCGGGCGGGUGAGUAAUGCCUAGGAAUCUGCCUGGUAGUGGGGGAUAACGUCCGGAAACGGGCGCUAAUACCGCAUACGUCCUGAGGGAGAAAGUGGGGGAUCUUCGGACCUCACGCUAUCAGAUGAGCCUAGGUCGGAUUAGCUAGUUGGUGGGGUAAAGGCCUACCAAGGCGACGAUCCGUAACUGGUCUGAGAGGAUGAUCAGUCACACUGGAACUGAGACACGGUCCAGACUCCUACGGGAGGCAGCAGUGGGGAAUAUUGGACAAUGGGCGAAAGCCUGAUCCAGCCAUGCCGCGUGUGUGAAGAAGGUCUUCGGAUUGUAAAGCACUUUAAGUUGGGAGGAAGGGCAGUAAGUUAAUACCUUGCUGUUUUGACGUUACCAACAGAAUAAGCACCGGCUAACUUCGUG
rnacentral:rRNA from 1 species